GGUGCAUGAUUUAUGAUAGUGAAGUCUCAUUUGUGCUCUCUAUGCAGAGCAGGUGCGCUUUGUUUGCAGCUCUAUACUUCCCUGGACUUGUCACUUGGCAGUUCUAUUCUUUCCCUUAUUUUCCAUUAAGCCGCCACUCCACGUAUGGAAAGCUGUGAGUCACCGAGCCGAUUCAUAUUUCUGUCUCUCCCGGGAAGAACUCUUCAGUUUCAUCUCAAAGUGUGAGUGUAAUCUUAAAUACCACUUUAUUUACUUUAUUGACAUCACUCAAACCUGUGGUUAUCUUGAGAAAUUAAUGUCUAAAAGUGACUAAUUUAUGACAUUUAAAAGCUAAAUACAUGUUUUAGAAACAGCAAUAGUUUAAUUCUCCUUCUGUUUCCAUUUGAAAGCGCGUGUAACAAAACAAAAAACAACAACGAGGAGUCUGAAGCACAAGGUCUGACUGCUACUAUCAAUCAUUCCCAGCCAGAUGUCUUGGGGGAUGGAGCUAUGGGAGGAAUAAGAGGUGUUAUUAUUUGUCUCAGUUUGAAUUUUUGAUACCUAUUUUUUAAAUUGAUCAACAGCAGCUUUAGUAUUUAUAUUUCAAUGGUUGUUUCCUCCUAAAUUACUACUUUUAAGGCUGGCAAUUCGAUAUUUUUGUCAUUGUCAACAAAACCCAUGAAGAAAGCAUAGUUAGCCCUUUUCUCAAUAUUUUCUAAGAUCUAAAUCAUUUUUGGGGACAAUUUUCAGAUACACAGCUCCUGACUCUUGAAUAUUGAGUCAUAAUUCUGCAGAGGUUUACCAGCACUGUGGUAAUUGUUACUAAACAGCGAAUGCCAUCGCAGCACUGCCGUCCAGACACCAGAGGCUGCUCUGAAAUAUUGGGCUGCUUUUUGGAGGUCUAAGCUGCUGUACAUUGCAGGGGGCGUAGGCUCUACCAUGGCAGCACUGCCUCCUAACAGGAACUUAUCAUGUUCAGACAAAGUGCUGCUGACAGGCAGUUCAGGGUUUAGCAGCAGCCUUGCUGUGCCAGGUCUCCCCUGGGGUAUUUCAUCAAUGCCUCCCAUAGAGACACCCAGCGCCACACAGCCGAUCCCAUACUCUAAUGAUGCCACACACUGCUCUCUGAUUGGCUACAAGGAGGCUGAGGUGAGCUUGCCAAGGUCCAAGAUAGAGCAGCGUGGGCGCGGUAUAGGGUUUGGAGGGGGAGGGGGUUGAUGUUGGGAGUGGGCAUAAUUAGACAGUUGGGAGCCAUGGUGAUAAUGGCCAUGCUCAGAGCAAGGGAGCACAGGGAAAGCACUUUAAUUGAGAUAUAAAAGACUUGGUUCCAAGGGCACUUCACGGGAAAAGAGAUGCCAGCUACAAAUGCUUGCUCAGUCAGGAGGAAGCAAACAAAGCAGUAUUCAUCAGAGAUUGUUUGCGUAAGUACAUUUGCCUGCCUUCUUAAAAGGGAUUGUUUCCAGUUGUGCAUGACCACGCUCUCAGAGCCUACGCUGGAUUUGACUGAGAAAGUCAUAAAUGUGUCUGGUGAGUAAGCAUGACAGGUGAACCAAUCAAAAUGAAUAUUAGUGUUUUCUAUCGUAGGUAUGUGUUGAGGUGGCAGAUGGGCUGUGCCUGGGACAGCAGGACAGUGGGUGGGGCACAAAGGAAGAUGCAUGUCGUUCCUAUUCCUUCUCCUACAGCCACACAGCAGCAGUCCAUGACAAUGAGGCAUGACACGAUGGAGGGAACUAGGCAGGUACAUCUACAACUUUGGUUAAUCUGUAAUUCAAAACACAUCCAAAUCAAAUGAUUUGGAAACAAAUAUUUGCUUGUUUAGCCAAAGAUUUUUGCAUUUGUCUUUGGGCUGAGUGAAAAAGAAUCCUUAUUAUGUCCCUAUUUAGCAUUUUGAGCCAGUGUGGAUUUGUUUUUCUGCAUUUGCAUAAAAAUAUUGUCUUGUCCUGCCUGGGCACAAUUUGUGGUAAUCAAAGCCUAAUAUUACUUAAUUCCUGGAAUAAAUGUGUGCAGUCUAAUGUAUUCCAGCUGACUUCAUUUGGAUAUCAAAACACAGCAGACAGAUGCUGCUGAAUAUAGUGUUAGCUGACAGAAAUUUACAUAGAAUGCACAUGUUGCUUGGAUACUAACAUGGAGGUUUGGUACAUUUCCAAGCUAAUAUUACAUGAUCAAAUCUUGUAGGAAUUGUCUGUUUCUUAUUGCACACACACACACACACACACACACACAAACACACACACACAUUCUGAACACCGCUAAAACACAAGCCCUUUUAAACACGCAUUAACACAUGCAAUCACAAGCUCUCUCUUCCUUUCACACACACAUGCACACACACUUAGCUUCACUUUUCUCUGAGUCACUUUGGUUCAGGACUACUGUUGUUCCAUUGAUUGAACAAGGCCAUCAAUAGCUUUCAAAUACAGCUACCUGUCUGAAGAGGAGCUAUGGAGCAUGAACAGCGGCACCUCAAAAGAUUUCCUGCUAAUACUCUCUUUCCCCAGGUACCAAAGGCGCCCUGCUAUUAUUUCCAGCCUUUUGCCUUUGGCGAUUUCUCUCUGUUCUGAGGUGAGAGGGCUUUGUCGCCACACGAACGCAGAGCCACCAAGACACCUCGCAAAGUCAAGGUAGAAAUGUUUCCAUGGUACCCCGCUCAAGGUCAUCUGGACAACAAUAUAAAAUUAGCCCUCCUGGGACUGAACCUCCUCUGACACCUCCACUCACGAGUCCCAUUUUGCCACCAGUGCUCUUUCACAUCACCGUUACCCCCCCCCCCCCACACACACACACACACACAGGAGAACGGGGUUGACUGGAUGGAUUUUUUCUGUGUGCUCCAGUGGGAUCUGGCCGAGCAGAAGAGUUGGCACCUGCAGGGGGAAGAGAAAAGGAGGGGUAGGUGGUGGCUGAGGUGGGCAGAGUAGUCUGAAGCUUGAAGGAGAGUGGAGCAGCUUGGCAGUAGUAGCUGCACGGGUCUCCUAGGUUUGGUCUAAUGGCCCCACUUGGCCCAACCUACUGCUGGUGGUCAGAUGGCCUGCUCCAGUACGAGGCGACGAAGGCCAGGGGCACGUUUUCACAUUCACUUCAGCCUGUCUUUGUCAAAGACUCUCAAUGACUUUCCAAAAAUAGGCAAGUGGGAAUUCAACAGAGGGGGGAGCAGAGUGUGCAAUUGAGGGAAAAAGGGUGAAAUAAAAGCCAGCCUUAAGUGUGGAGGUGCAAGGGAGCAGCAUAUGUUGUUUUAAUGCUCUCAUUACAGACCCCCUUUUCUCUCCCCAGUGCCCUCAGAAGGG